GACGAACGCUGGCGGCGCGCCUAACACAUGCAAGUCGAACGAGCGAGAGAGAGCUUGCUUUCUCGAGCGAGUGGCGAACGGGUGAGUAACGCGUGAGGAACCUGCCUCAAAGAGGGGGACAACAGUUGGAAACGACUGCUAAUACCGCAUAAGCCCACGGCUCGGCAUCGAGCAGAGGGAAAAGGAGCAAUCCGCUUUGAGAUGGCCUCGCGUCCGAUUAGCUAGUUGGUGAGGUAACGGCCCACCAAGGCAACGAUCGGUAGCCGGACUGAGAGGUUGAACGGCCACAUUGGGACUGAGACACGGCCCAGACUCCUACGGGAGGCAGCAGUGGGGAAUAUUGCACAAUGGGGGAAACCCUGAUGCAGCGACGCCGCGUGGAGGAAGAAGGUCUUCGGAUUGUAAACUCCUGUUGUUGGGGAAGAUAAUGACGGUACCCAACAAGGAAGUGACGGC
rnacentral:rRNA from 1 species